GUGCUCCCCUCGGCAACACAUAUACUAAAAUUGGAACGUUACAAAGAUUAGGAUGGCCCCUGCGCAAGGAUGACAGGCAAAUUCGUGAAGCGUUCCAUUAUUUU
ensembl:snRNA U6 U6 spliceosomal RNA